rnacentral:rRNA from 1 species
AGAGUUUGAUCCUGGCUCAGGAUGAACGCUAGCGACAGGCCUAACACAUGCAAGUCGAGGGGCAGCACGUUGAAGUAGCAAUACGGAGAUGGUGGCGACCGGCGCACGGGUGCGUAACAGGUGUGCAAUCUGUCCAUAAUCGGGGAAUAGCCCGGCGAAAGUUGGAUUAACGCUCCAUGUGAGCGGGAACCGCAUGAUUCCCGCUUGAAACGUUACGGAUUAUGGGUGAGCACGCUUCUGAUUAGAUAGUUGGUAGGGUAACGGCCUACCAAGUCGACGAUCAGUAGGGGUUCUGAGAGGAAGGUCCCCCACAUUGGAACUGAGACACGGUCCAAACUCCUACGGGAGGCAGCAGUGAGGAAUAUUGGUCAAUGGGCGAGAGCCUGAACCAGCCAAGUAGCGUGCAGGAUGACGGCCCUAUGGGUUGUAAACUGCUUUUAUAAGGGAAUAAAGUGAGUCUCGUGAGACUUUUUGCAUGUACCUUAUGAAUAAGGACCGGCUAAUUCCGUGCCAGCAGCCGCGGUAAUACGGAAGGUCCGGGCGUUAUCCGGAUUUAUUGGGUUUAAAGGGAGCGUAGGCCGGAGAUUAAGCGUGUUGUGAAAUGUAGAUGCUCAACAUCUGCACUGCAGCGCGAACUGGUUUCCUUGAGUACGCACAAAGUGGGCGGAAUUCGUGGUGUAGCGGUGAAAUGCUUAGAUAUCACGAAGAACUCCGAUUGCGAAGGCAGCUCACUGGAGCGCAACUGACGCUGAAGCUCGAAAGUGCGGGUAUCGAACAGGAUUAGAUACCCUGGUAGUCCGCACGGUAAACGAUGGAUGCCCGCUGUUGGUCUGAAUAGGUCAGCGGCCAAGCGAAAGCAUUAAGCAUCCCACCUGGGGAGUACGCCGGCAACGGUGAAACUCAAAGGAAUUGACGGGGGCCCGCACAAGCGGAGGAACAUGUGGUUUAA